GCGUGUUAUUUGUGUACUGGUGUGUGGCCGAAAAAGCAGAGGAUUGGCAGUAGGAGACCAGACUAACCCAAACUGGGUGUGUCUAAGCAAACUGGAUGUGUGCGACCUUAGGCAAGCCAUUUGUCUUAAUGGGCUUCAAUUUCCCCAUUAAGAUAACAAGGAGAUUGGAGACAAAGAUCUCUAAGUGACUGCACAUGGUGCCCAUAAUGUGUUUUUGCUGGUUUAUAACUUUCCUUAGAGAUCUCCUUUUCUAUUAUUCGUGAUUUCUUAUUUUGCUCAUGUUUCCUAUUAGCGUUGAACUAUUACCCAUCUUUCGAAGUAUCUUCUAACUUUAAAAUUCUUACACACAUUUGGUUUGUGUUUCUUACUCACAUCGGAAAGGAGCUUCAUUUUAUGGUUGGAGCACUGAGGCCCAGGAAGCGCCUGCCUAAGGACACGCAGCGCAGAGAAUACAACACAGCUCCCAGCCUGGGAGGGCCCUAGGAUCCAGGACAUUGCCCGGCCCCGCUCAGAGUGAAUGCCCGCUAAUUAUUUGUCAAUUGAUUGGAGGUUGUAAGGCCCAUCUUGCACGACAACUCCUUUCUCCCUGGAAGGAGGAGCCCCUCGGAGUCUGUCGGUUAACGGGAAAAGUGCUUACUCCGGGAGGAAGGCGGGGCAAGCCGGAACAAGCUCUCGCUGGGAACCCGCAUACUCGCACACUCCCUCACCCGGUGUUUCUGAACCCUUUUCUUCGCAGGAGAGAGGUGACGGGGUUCAAGGAUACUUGGAACCCGUCCCUUUGGCGGAGACAGGUAGCCGCUUCUGACUGCCGCUCCCGGCUGAUCCUGCGGAGUGGAGCGCCCCCGCCCACCCCCCAUCCCCGCGUUACGCUCAGGCCUCCUCCGCUCUGCUACGGAAGGGGGGUGCUUGGGGAGCCCUUGCACGCUAGUCUUCCUGGAGCUGCAGUCGUGGAGCCCCGCGCUCUCGGGAGCCUCUAGGCGGCUUCCCCUCGGCUGCGCUGGUGUGCAGGCUCUCCCCGCCGCCCCCACCCGCGGCUCGCCCUUCUUCCCUCCCUCCCUCCCUCCAGCCCGGCCGGCCGGAGCGCGCACACCGGGGCUCCGGCACGUGGGCGCGCGGGAGGCGGCGGCCGCUGCUGCCGCUGCCGGAGCCCAAGCCCGAGCCGAGAUUGCCCUCCAUGCUGCGGGCUCUGCGGCCGCCUUCCGCUCAGCCUCUGGUCCAAGCCCAGCCCCGCGAGCCUGCGAAGCAGCAGAGGGGAGGAGGACGCGGAAAGGAGGAGGGGCGCGGCGGGCUGGGGCAAGCCGGGCUCUGAGCAAGGGGCGCCCGCAGCCGAGAGGAGGCAGCCCGGUUCUCUCGCUCCUUCUGCUCCAGCCACUGCUGGGGGUUCCAGGCAGCGCGAUGCCGCUAGGCUCCUUCUAGGCGGCGGCCAGAGGAGGCUUCCCGCAGCCGCUCGGCCCACGCCGGCUCGCCUUCCGCGGUCGAGUCCCUUCUCUGUCCUGGAGGACGCGCCCGGCCGCUCGAGCCUGAGCGAGCGCGAAGUCCGAAGUCCGCUCCCAGCGCCGCCAACUUCCCCGGGAGCCCCUCUCCCCGCAGCAGCCUGCGCCAGCCCUGGGAGCGAUGCGCCCCCAGCCGGGCGGCUCGCCUUCUGCCAACUCGCCACCCAUGGGAUCGACUGCCCUCGGCUGCCCCGCUUGGAGCUCGUAGUAGCCUUCGACGCGUGGCCGGGGAGAGGAGCGAGACACCAAGGCGUUUGGCGGAUCCCGCGCGCGCCUGUCUGUUGGGGUCCCCUGCGGGGGCAGCGUCCAUACCCAGGGACUGACGGAGCCAGAGAUCCUUGGAGAUAUUUCCCAGCACUCUCUCGCCCCACUUUAUCAACUGAGCAAAGUGAAAAGUGGCUGAAGAAACUGAGAAGUGACUUGCCAGAGAUCCUACAAGCAGUAAGUGCCAGAACUGGGACUGGUGCCCUGAUACCCUAA
rnacentral:lncRNA from 1 species